UACAGAGGUCUCAAGCGUUGUUCGGAUUCAUUGGGCGUAAAGGGUGCGUAGGCGGCGCGGUAAGUCGGGUGUGAAAUCUUGGAGCUUAACUCCGAAACUGCAUUCGAUACUGCCGUGCUUGAGGACUGGAGAGGAGACUGGAAUUCACGGUGUAGCAGUGAAAUGCGUAGAUAUCGUGAGGAAGACCAGUGGCGAAGGCGGGUCUCUGGACAGUUCCUGACGCUGAGACGCGAAAGCUAGGGGAGCGAACAGG
rnacentral:rRNA from 1 species